UUUAUGGAGAGUUUGAUCCUGGCUCAGGACGAACGCUGGCGGCGUGCCUAAUACAUGCAAGUCGAGCGGACAAUUGAGAGCUUGCUCUCAAUUGUUAGCGGCGGACGGGUGAGUAACACGUGGGCAACCUGCCCUGUAGACUGGGAUAACUUCGGGAAACCGAAGCUAAUACCAGAUAAUCUUUUGCGUCUCAUGGCGCGAAAGUAAAAGUUGGGUUUUACCUAACACUACAGGAUGGGCCCGCGGCGCAUUAGCUAGUUGGUAAGGUAACGGCUUACCAAGGCGACGAUGCGUAGCCGACCUGAGAGGGUGAUCGGCCACACUGGGACUGAGACACGGCCCAGACUCCUACGGGAGGCAGCAGUAGGGAAUCUUCCGCAAUGGACGAAAGUCUGACGGAGCAACGCCGCGUGAACGAUGAAG
rnacentral:ncRNA from 1 species